rnacentral:rRNA from 1 species
AAUAGAUACCCGGUAGUCCACGCCGUAAACGGUGGGCACUAGGUGUGGGCGACAUUCCACGUCGUCCGUGCCGCAGCUAACGCAUUAAGUGCCCCGCCUGGGGAGUACGGCCGCAAGGCUAAAACUCAAAGGAAUUGACGGGGGCCCGCACAAGCGGCGGAGCAUGUGGCUUAAUUCGACGCAACGCGAAGAACCUUACCAAGGCUUGACAUACACCGGAAACGUCCAGAGAUGGGCGCCCCCUUGUGGUCGGUGUACAGGUGGUGCAUGGCUGUCGUAAGCUCGUGUCGUGAGAUGUUGGGUUAAGUCCCGCAACGAGCGUAACCCUUGUCCCGUGUUGCCAGCAGGCCCUUGUGGUGCUGGGGACUCACGGGAGACCGCCGGGGUCAACUCGGAGGAAGGUGGGGACGACGUCAAGUCAUCAUGCCCCUUAUGUCUUGGGCUGCACACGUGCUACAAUGGCCGGUACAAUGAGCUGCGAUACCGCGAGGUGGAGCGAAUCUCAAAAAGCCGGUCUCAGUUCGGAUUGGGGUCUGCAACUCGACCC